UACGGAGGGUGCGAGCGUUGUUCGGAAUUACUGGGCGUAAAGCGUGCGCAGGCGGCUUCGCAAGUCAGACGUGAAAUCCCCGGGCUUAACCUGGGAAUGGCGUUUGAAACUACGGAGCUUGAGUACAGGAGAGGGUGGGGGAAUUCCAGGUGUAGCGGUGAAAUGCGUAGAUAUCUGGAGGAACACCGGUGGCGAAGGCGCCCACCUGGCCUGCUACUGACGCUGAAGCUCGAAAGCUAGGGGAGCAAACGGG
rnacentral:rRNA from 1 species